rnacentral:rRNA from 1 species
UACGGGGAGGGCGAGCGUUAUUCAGCGUUAUUGGGCGUAAAGGGCAUCUAGGUUGUUCAUUAAGUUUUUAGCGAAAUGUUACAGCUCAACUGUAAAAUUGCUUUAAAAUACUAUUGAACUUGAGUAUAGCAGAAGAUAGCGAUACUUUUAGUGUAAAGGUAAAAUUUGUAGAUACUAAAAGGGUCAUCAACCGGCGAAGGCGGCUAUCUAGGUUAUUACUGACGCUGACGUGCAAAAGCGUGGGUAGCAAACGGG